rnacentral:rRNA from 1 species
UACGUAGGAGGCGAGCGUUGUCCGGAGUUACUGGGCGUAAAGCGCGCGUAGGCGGGGGGUUAAGUGAGAGGUGAAAGGCUGGGGCUCAACCCCAUGCAGUGCCUCUCAUACUGGCCUUCUUGAGGGCGGUAGGGAGAAGUGGAAUGGCUGGCGUAGCGGUGAAAUGCGUAGAUAUCUGGAGGAACACCGGUGGCGAAGGCGGCAUCCUGGACCAAUUCUGACGCUGAGGAGCGAAAGCCAGGGGAGCAAACGGG